rnacentral:rRNA from 1 species
UACGUAGGGGGCAAGCGUUGUCCGGAUUUAUUGGGCGUAAAGAGCGUGUAGGCGGCUUGGAAGGUCAGCUGUGAAAACUCGAGGCUCAACCUCGAGACGUCGGUUGAAACCACCUGGCUAGAGUCCGGAAGAGGAGAGUGGAAUUCCUGGUGUAGCGGUGAAAUGCGCAGAUAUCAGGAAGAACACCCGUGGCGAAGGCGGCUCUCUGGGACGGUACUGACGCUGAGACGCGAAAGCGUGGGGAGCGAACAGG